rnacentral:misc_RNA from 1 species
GAAAUGCGAUAAGUAAUGUGAAUUGCAGAAUUCAGUGAAUCAUCGAAUCUUUGAACGCUCAUUGCGCCCGCCAGUAUUCUGGCGGGCAUGCCUGUUCGAGCGUCAUUACAACCCUCAGGCCCCCGGGCCUGGCGUUGGGGAUCGGCGGAAGCCCCCUGCGGGCACAACGCCGUCCCCCAAAUACAGUGGCGGUCCUGCCGCAGCUUCCAUUGCGUAGUAGCUAACACCUCGCAACUGGAGAGCGGCGCGGCCACGCCGUAAAACACCCAACUUCUGAAUGUUGACCUCGAAUCAGGUAGGAAUACCCGCUGAACUUAAGC